AUAAAUCCCAGAACUAAGACUUAAAUAUAAAAAUGAAAAAACCAAAGUACUAGAAUAAAAUAAUGAAUUUUUAAAUAAUCUUGCAUGGAGAAGGCUUUUUCUUAGUAUGAAAACUUGGCAAUAUUUGUCUAUAAAAUCCAGAAGUUGUCAUAAAGAAAAGAUUAAUAAAUAUGACUACUUAAAAAUGAAAACUUCUGAAUAAAAAAAUACAAUCAACAAAGUCAAAGACAAUUGACAAUCUGGGAGAAAAGUGGGCAACACGUAUUAUCUAUAUAUGUUCUCAUUCCUUUAGUAUAGAUGAAGCCUUUAGAAAUCUGUAAGGUAGGCUGGGUGCAGUGGGUCAUGCCUGGGGUAAUUCCAGCACUGAGGGAGGCCAAGGCAGGCGAAUCAACUUGAGGUCUGGGGUUCAAGACCAGCCUGGCCAACAUGGUGAAACCUGGUCUCUAUUAAAAAUACAAAAAGUAGUCAGGCGUGGUGAUGGCACACACCUGUAAUCCCAGCUACCCUGGUGGCCAAGGCAUGAGAAUCACUUGAGCCUGGGAGGCAGAGGUUGCAAUGAGGCACUCCAGCCUGGGCAACAAAAGCUGGAAACUCCAUUUCAGAAAAAAAGAAUGAGCAGAGGACAUGAACUGGUACUUCUCAGAAAAAGAAAUAUGAAUGCACCCAAUGCACACAUAAAAAGAAUACUCAACUUCGCUGCUAAUUCAAAUAAUGCAAAUUAAAAUAGCAGUAAGAUGGCAAUUUUUAACCAGUCAAAUUGGCAAAGCUUUAAAAGUUUAAUAACAAAACAUGUUGGCUGGCAAGCAGGGAAACACAUUACCAAUGGAAGUAUACGUAUUUAUAAUGCUUUUGGAGAAAAUUUGGCAAUAUUUCUUUUAAGGAAAUUUCCUUUUAAUUCUCAGCAAGGCAAGUUACUUCUAUACAGAAGCGUGUGCCCUUACAGAUGGAACAAUGAGGACUGCACAUCUGGACAAGGGAGGGGAAGGGGUUCUUAUCCCAGAAGCACUUGGCCCCUGCUGCUGUGUCGUUCCCCUAUUG
rnacentral:lncRNA from 1 species